GCCCUUUCUGGCAGCACAUAUACUAAAAUCAGAACAAUACAGAGAAGAUUAGCAUAGCCCUUUUGCAAGGAUUGUGAAAUGUUCCAUUAAAAAAAAAUCCUAAUGGAG